GGAGAGGUGCCCGGAGUGGUUGAUCGGGGGCUCGGGUUUCGGCUCGGGUCGGGUUUUACCGCCUUCGCAGGUUCGAAUCCUGCCCUCUCCG
rfam:Kitasatospora setae KM-6054 DNA, complete genome.